rnacentral:rRNA from 1 species
GAUGAACGCUGGCGGCGUGCCUAAUACAUGCAAGUCGAGCGAACGGACGAGAAGCUUGCUUCUCUGAUGUUAGCGGCGGACGGGUGAGUAACACGUGGAUAACCUACCUAUAAGACUGAGAUAACUUCGGGAAACCGUAGCUAAUACCGGAUAAUAUUUUGAACCGCAUGGUUCAAAAGUGAAAGACGGACUUGCUGUCACUUAUAGAUAGAUCCGCGCUGCAUUAGCUAGUUGGUAAGGUAACGGCCUACCAAGGCAACGAUGCAUAGCCGACCUGAGAGGGUGAUCGGCCACACUGGAACUGAGACACGGUCCAGACUCCUACGGGAGGCAGCAGUAGGGAAUCUUCCGCAAUGGGCGAAAGCCUGACGGAGCAACGCCGCGUGAGUGAUGAAGGUCUUCGGAUCGUAAAACUCUGUUAGUAGGGAAGAACAUAUGUGUAAGUAACUGUGCACAUCUUGACGGUACCUAAUCAGAAAGCCACGGCUAACUACGUG